rnacentral:rRNA from 1 species
UACGAAGGGGGGCUAGCGUUGCUCGGAAUCACUGGGCGUAAAGCGCACGUAGGCGGAUUGUUAAGUCAGGGGUGAAAUCCUGGAGCUCAACUCCAGAACUGCCUUUGAUACUGGGGAUCUCGAGUCCGGAAGAGGUGAGUGGAACUCCGAGUGUAGAGGUGAAAUUCGUAGAUAUUCGGAAGAACACCAGUGGCGAAGGCGGCUCACUGGUCCGGUACUGACGCUGAGGUGCGAAAGCGUGGGGGAGCAAACAGGGAUUAAGAAACCCCGG